UACGUAGGGGCCGAGCGUUGUCCGGAGUUAUUGGGCGUAAAGCGCGCGCAGGCGGCCUCGCGCGCCCGACGUGAAAGCCCCCGGCUUAACCGGGGAGGGUCGUUGGGGACGGCGGGGCUUGAGGGCGGGAGAGGUCGGUGGAAUUCCCGGUGUAGUGGUGAAAUGCGUAGAGAUCGGGAGGAACACCUGUGGCGAAGGCAGCCUUCUGGGCCAACACUGACGCUCAUGCACGAAAGCGUGGGGAGCAAACAGG
rnacentral:rRNA from 1 species